GGGGCAUUUAUAAAAAAUCACAAAUGAAAAUAAAAUUAAAAUCCUGCAUCAUGCCUACUAAAAACUUAUUCAAAUAACAUAGCAUGCAGUUGUAAUUAUAACUAUAAGCAUGUUUUGUCAUGAUAUGUUUAUGCCACAUUUUUUCUUUUUGCAUAUUCUAAACAUGCAUCAUUUUUACAGAUUAAUCAGUCCUCCAUAUUUGUUAGAUUGUUAUGCUCCGCCCUCUGCGCUCCGCCAUAUUGAAAUUCGUCAUAUUGUUUCCACUUAAUUAAUUAAUUGGGCAGCCUUAAGGCCCACACAGACCGGGCGCGAUUUGGCAACGCGACGCGAAUUUUCAG
rnacentral:lncRNA from 1 species